GCUUACGUAAUAUAGUGGUAGUAUAACAGUUUGUGGUUGAUUUCAACUCACUGUCGGCCCAGGUUCGAUUCCUGGCGUGAGCA